rnacentral:rRNA from 1 species
AUGAGUAAUGCUGCAAUCUCUAUUUGUUCUUCGAAUGUACAUGGCUUGGGUGACGAGGCCAAGUGCUCUGACGUCCUAUCUGAAUUGCUCGCUAUCAAACCUCACAUUGCCCUCCCACAACAAUCAAAACUCAAUACUUACUCCAACACCAAACUAAGAUCAUUCUUGACACGUCACCUCGACCAAGUUUUCUCGUUGCCAGCCAUUGGCACGGCUGGCGGCACUAUUUCUGCCAUUAACACAACUUCUCUCCAAGUUAUCUCGUACACUCACCUCACCUUCUCCUCCACCCUAAUUCUAAAAUCAACGACAUGUGCUCGCAACAUUUCCAAUACAAAUAUCUACGCCCCCUCUUCACAUGCGCUCAAACAAUCCUUCUAGGAUGACCUCCUAGCUAUCUCACAACCGGAUGAUUCUGCCUGGUUUAUUGUUGGAGACUUCAACCUCCUUCGCUUCCCCUCCGACAAAAACAACAAUACCUUUCGGCAGUCAGAGGCCACUGUGUUCAAUCAAACCCUGGACGACCUAGCUCUUAUCGAGCUACCACUCCUUGAUCGCCAAUUUACAUGGUCAAACAAUAGAGCAACACCCUCCUUAGAACGGAUCGACCGCGCUUUUUUAACCUAG